CGGCGUUCUGUAAAUGCAAAAAUAUCAAUCAGUAUCUGCCCUUGAAUUUCAAUCCGCCAUUGUAGGGAGUUUGAGAACAGAAACAUCCAUGGAGAAGGAUAAGAUCAUAAGACCGACCUGAAAAGUGACAGAGGCCAAAGGAGCAGUCAUGCCUCUGAAAAGACCAGCAGGGCCAUCGUUAACAAUGAUAUUCCGAAAAAUUUUCAAAGCAGAACCAGAUAUCGAUUGUUGUUGCAUUACUCUAAGAGUAUCAAGAGGGUAGCCUGAGAUUACCCCGGCGAUGCCACCAAAUCCACCGGCAACAAAUUCUCUACCCCAACUGCUUGCAAGGAAUUCUGGCCAGAAAUCCAUUACUACAAUAUGUUAUCGCUUCUCCAAACCAACCAAACCAACCAACCAACAACAAUAACAACAAUCUUUAAUCGCAAAAAGCAGGAGGAGGAAAUAAGAUGAAAUUGAAUGGAAGAAAACGUGAAGGGAAGUUGAGAAAGGCAAUGAAGAGGAAGAAAAGAGAAGAAGGGCCACAAUUUAGAAUUGUCUUGUUCGAACAUUUCUUUUUAUUGGGUCGAAAAGUGGGCAAAAACAAAAGGUACAUAUUAUUGCUGGUUUUAACGAGAGAAGAGAGGAGAGAAGAGAGAAGGAAGAAGAAGACGAGAAUGGCCAACACCAACUUUCGGAGGAGCACUAGUAGACUACCACGUGUUCAUUCACAAUUCAUAAUUCACCCUUUGACAUCCCCUCUUUACUUCUCAAAUUUUGAUAUUCCUUCAAUCUUUUCUUUGGAGUUAAAUACUAAUUUUCUUUUCUACCUAAAUUUUUCAACUUUACAUAAUUUGAUAAAUUUCCUUGAUAA